rnacentral:tRNA from 24 species
GCUCCCCUGGUGCAGUUGGUUAGCAUUUGGGCCUCCGGUGUCUUGUGUAAAUUAAUACCAUGACAAGCAAGCUCAGGGUCGCGGGUUCGAGUCCCGCGGGGAGCU